rnacentral:rRNA from 1 species
ACGAACGCUGGCGGCAUGCCUAACACAUGCAAGUCGCACGAGACCUUCGGGUCUAGUGGCGCACGGGUGCGUAACGCGUGGGAACCCGCCCUUAGGUUCGGAAUAACUCCCCGAAAGGGGUGCUAAUACCGGAUAAUGUCUUCGGACCAAAGAUUUAUCGCCUUUGGAUGGGCCCGCGUUGGAUUAGCUAGUUGGUAGGGUAAAAGCCUACCAAGGCGACGAUCCAUAGCUGGUCUGAGAGGAUGAUCAGCCACACUGGGACUGAGACACGGCCCAGACUCCUACGGGAGGCAGCAGUGGGGAAUAUUGGACAAUGGGCGAAAGCCUGAUCCAGCAAUGCCGCGUGAGUGAUGAAGGCCUUAGGGUUGUAAAGCUCUUUUACCCGGGAUGAUAAUGACAGUACCGGGAGAAUAAGCUCCGGCUAACUCCGUG